rfam:Tetrasphaera japonica T1-X7 genomic scaffold, 1540_scaffold1
GCGCCCGUAGCUCAACGGAUAGAGCAUCUGACUACGGAUCAGAAGGUUGGGGGUUCGAAUCCCUCCGGGCGCG